rnacentral:rRNA from 1 species
UACGUAGGGGGCAAGCGUUGUCCGGAAUCAUUGGGCGUAAAGAGCGUGUAGGCGGCCCGAUAAGUCCGCUGUGAAAGUCCAGGGCUCAACCCUGGAAUGCCGGUGGAUACUGUCGGGCUCGAAUCCGGAAGAGGUGAGUGGAAUUCCUGGUGUAGCGGUGAAAUGCGCAGAUAUCAGGAAGAACACCAAUGGCGAAGGCAGCUCUCUGGGACGGUACUGACGCUGAGACGCGAAAGCGUGGGGAGCGAACAGG